rnacentral:rRNA from 1 species
CCUACGGGAGGCAGCAGUGAGGAAUAUUGGUCAAUGGGCGCGAGCCUGAACCAGCCAAGUCGCGUGAAGGAUGACUGCCCUACGGGUUGUAAACUUCUUUUAUAAAGGAAUAAAGUGAGGCUCGUGUGCCCUUUUGUAUGUACUUUAUGAAUAAGGAUCGGCUCACUCCCUGCCAGCAGUCGCGGUAAUACGGAGGAUCCGAGCGUUAUCCGGAUUUAUUGGGUUUAAAGGGAGCGUAGAUGGGUUGUUAAGUCAGUUGUGAAAGUUUGUGGCUCAACCGUAAAAGUGCAAUUGAUACUGGCAGCCUUGAGUACAGUUGAGGUAGGCGGAAUUCGUGGUGUAGCGGUGAAAUGCGUAGAUAUCACGAAGAACUCCGAUUGCGAAGGCAGCCUACUAAGCUGCCACUGACAUUGAUGCUCGAAAGUGUGGGUAUCAAACAGGAUUAGAUACCCGAGUAGUC